GAAAAUAAAGGAGAAAAUUCAUUCCUUAUUUUCUUUUCGCCCUUUUCCCGAAUACACUGUUGGGAAAUAAUUAACAAUUAACCAAUCACUCUUCAGAAUCUGGCGCGGUACCAGUACGUCUAAAACAGGGUAUCACAAGCAGUUCGUCACACUUGCAGAGACGACGAGGGAGAAAGAGAAAGUGGGGAAGAGAUGCCUCUAGUAGACUACGCUUCUUCAUCGGACGACGACGUGUCGGAGGAUAGAGAAGAAGAAGAACCGAACCCCCAAAACGAGCCGCAACUACCAAAGCACGGACCUGCAUCUCCUACAAUUCCUCCUAAUAACCAUAGCGGUGGUGGGAGAUAUGGGAUUGCUUCACACGCUCCUCCAACGGCUAGUACAGAGAAGCUUCCAGACGCUUCUCUUCUCCUGAAUUCACCAACUGUUUCAUUUGUGACUGGGACCGGAACCAGAACCGGAACCGACCAUACUUCUCGAGUUGCAGUUGCUAUGGCUGAAAGUGCUUCGCGCAAAAGAGAAUCUAAUGGAUUGUCUUCGACCUCACCCCGCAACAAAGUCCCAAAAGGGAACUUGCCACAUACAAAAAAUGUUCCAGAUACUGUUGGUAGUGUCCUUGUUCCGCCUCAACUAAGUGGAAGAAAAUAGAUGGAGUAUCAAAGAUGGAAAGCUUAUUUUGAUUCAAAGGGUGAGAAAUUGAUUUGUGGACAGUAGAUCAGUGAGAGGAAGAGAGUAGAGAGGCAUGAGAGACAGAGGGACAAGUGAGAUGAAAAGUGAUGACACAUUGGUAGAAAGAAAGUAAUCAAGGUUACUGUUGUACAGGAGCAACAUUGUGACGGAAGAUAUUGGGAAGCUGUUUGUAAGGAAACAUGCUGAGCACUCUUCUUCUCAGCGUAAUUCCUCUAGCGUUUAAUGUGACAUUUUUGUAGUUUGUAUCUCGAUAAAGAUAUCCAUGUCCUGACAUGCUUCGCUUGUAUAAAUAUGAAAAUUUUUCUGGAAUUCUGCUUGCUUUUUCUUGAUCCUAAGUGCUAACCCUUUGUUUAGUGAACUGUAAUACAAUGUAAUGCAAUAUAAUUAAAUUUUUUUUUUUUA